GGGAAGUCGGCAAAUUGGAUCCGUAACUUCGGGAGAAGAGUUGGCUCUGGAGGCCGAGUCAGACAAGCCGAGAUCAGAUACGUGUCUGUUCAUUUGGAGGCUGGUUUCUUUGCUGUUUGCGUGCUUCGGUGCGCAUUUUAGUGGAGUUACUGGACUCUGACCGCGAUCGAUCGUGGGCGGUUUCAGCUUUUAGUGUUGUAUGGACAGCAGCGCGCGUGGACUUGCUCUGCGUUGCGUCAAGCGUCUGUGUUUCUAUUGUUUGGCGCGCGACGGCUUACUCAGAACUGACAAGGACCAAGGGAAUCCGACUGUCUAAUUAAAACAAAGCAUUGCGAUGUCCGCUGACCAGUUAUGGCGCAAUGUGAUCUCCGCCCAGAGCUCUGAAUGUCAAAGUAAAUAAAUCCAGCCAAGUGCGAGGAUGCGUGACUGGGAGCUGUCAGCUAGACAAGUCAGCUUAAAGAGUCAGGGUCAGCAUCCAAUGUUC
rnacentral:ncRNA from 1 species